GGAUCAAUUUGUCGGUCAUGCCUCGGUACGUACUGGCAUUAUUGGUUUCUACCUUCUGAAGAACCUUGAUGUCAUUAAUUUGGUGUCUUGGGGAAUCAGGACUGUUACUUUGAAAAAAUUAGAGUGUUUAAAGCAGGCAUACGCUUGAAUACAUUAGCAUGGAAUAAUGAAAUAGGACGUUUGAUUCUAUUUUGUUGGUUUCUAGAGUCGCCGUAAUGAUUAAUAGGGAUAGUUGGGC
rnacentral:rRNA from 1 species